rnacentral:misc_RNA from 1 species
UCAAACUUGGUCAUUUAGAGGAAGUAAAAGUCGUAACAAGGUUUCCGUAGGUGAACCUGCGGAAGGAUCAUUAUUGAAUAACUUGCCUUGAUGGGUUGUAGCUGGCCUCUUGAGGCAUGUGCACGCCUGUCUUGACUCUCUAUUCAUCCACCUGUGCACCUUGUGUAGUUCUUUUAACUCUGGAUUUGAGGAUUGCUUUUCCAGCUUUCCUUUUCCCUGGCAUUGUGCCCUGUCAGAGACAAAGGAGCUAUGUUUCUUAUCACACACUAUAAAGUAUGUUAUCAGAAUGUAUUCAAUGGGUCUUUGUGCCUAUAAAAUCUAUACAACUUUCAGCAACGGAUCUCUUGGCUCUCGCAUCGAUGAAGAACGCAGC